ACAGACACAAAAAAAAAAGAAGCCAAAACUUAUUAGGUUUUCUCUCUUCCACUCCAUCUCCUUCUAAUAUUUCACGCCAUCAGAGCUUCUCUAAAUCAAAUUUCUCUUCUAUGAGCUUGCCAUUGUUGUCGUUGUUGGUGGGUGAAGGUUUUGUCGUGUCGUCUCGAUCCGUGAAGAAGAAUAGGCGUUUGGGCGGAGCAAUUGGAGAGGAGAAGACCAAAUCGUGAUAACGAAGACUAGAUUAAGUGGCGCAGACAAAAGCUAACCCAUCAGACAAAACUAACCCAUUCCAAAGGUCGGAGACUAAGAAAUCAAAUAAGA